CGUUCCCGGAAGUCUCGCGAUGUUGCGUCUCUGGGUUUAGAAUCUCUGAAAUAAGUAGCUAACAGUAAAAGCAAAUAUUUACAUCUGUGAGUUCACUCAUAUUUUUGACGAAUUGUAACAGUCAGCCAUAACGUUAGCUGGUUUAGGUAAGGCAUGUUUUUUGACAAAUCAUACACGUUGGGUGGCGUUUUAUAAAAUGGAAGAGCCGUGGGAUUUCGAGUUUUUAUCCCGUAUUGUGGACGGGUUUGUGUCUUUUCUUUCCGAAUUUGUGGAUGACUGGUUGGCUAAUGAUAUGAGAGUGUCAAUAUUCAAGAUCUUGUUUAGCUGGCUUGUUGUCAGUCUCAUUGCCAUCCACUUCGCUUGGAGAGUUUACGGAAACACUGUGAACGAUAUGUAUUACCGACAAGGUACUGGUGGACAGAAUGGAGGCACACCUGACACUGCACCUCACCGCAGUGGAUGGUAGGUGUCCAAGCAUCCAUGUGUCUCCCUCCAGAUGAACGUGGUACCUUCAGGCGUUUGGAAAUUGCUCCCAAGGAUGAACCAGACUUGUGGAGGUCUACAAUUUUUUUCUGAGAUCUUGGCUGAUUUCUUUUGAUUUUCCCAUGAUGUCAAGCCAAGAGGCACCAAGUUUGAAGGGAGAGUGCUGCAGGAGACACCAUCAAGACACACCGUGAGUGACAGUCAGGACAUAACAAGUUGGACUACAUUCUACUUGCUCUUUGUCUAAUCAGACAGUGUUGCUGAGUGGACACAAACUUGAUAUGUUGUGCCUUUUCAAAUGGGCUGGAGUUCAUUGAGGUGGGCCUGCAGACGCUUCCUUACUCUACGCUGAAAAAUAAUUUUCCCCGGACGGUUGUCAUGAAGAGGUGCCUGUUAUCAGGCUCAGUUUACAUCCAGACAGCCACACCAUGCGAUAAGCUAAGAUAUUCUCUCAUAUGCCAUAUCUUUUUAAAUCUCAUAUUUUAAAAUGUAGCUCAUGUAAAUUUUUACCGCCUUUGAUUGGUGAGUCAUUAAAAUAUCUAUCCAAGUCUAUGUCCUCUGAUUGGUUGUAGAUUGAACUGAAAUGUUAUUCUGAUCUACCGGUAGACAGAAUCUGAAAAGACUCGACAACUGCUGUGAGUUGUGACUGCUGUUAUGUUCACAACAUGUUAUUGUAUGAAUAAGGAGCUGUUUUUAUUUCCACUGGAGCAAGGCUACAUAGUAAUCCAUGAAGAGUGCGCUGGAGCAAGACUACUGUGGAGAAAGUGGUCAGAGAUUAGAAGCCUUACAUCAAAUGGCAGCUCCCCUCAAACUCUGAUUUCUUUUUCUUGACAGACUCAUAUUAUUAUACUCGUUGUACACCCCUUCUAUGGCUGGAACCUCCAUAUUGAGAAGGAGCAAAUGCAUGAGGCCUCUGACUGUCUUCUGAUUGCUAUAAAAAUAUAAAACAGUGAA